rnacentral:rRNA from 1 species
ACUCAAAUGAAUUGACGGGGACUUGCACAAGCGGUGGAUUAUGUGGUUUAAUUCGACGGUACACGAAAAACCUUACCAAGGCUAGAUAUGCUAGUGAAAGACUGAGGAAACUCAGUAACUCCGCAAGGACACUAGCACAGGUGAUGCAUGGCCGUCGUCAGUUCGUGGUUUGAACUGUUCCCUUAAGUGGGGUAACGAACGCAACCCCUAUCGUCUGUUAUACGUGUCAGGCGAGACUGCCCAGCCCAAAGCGCACGAUCAUUAAAUUGAUCGCGAAUUGUGGGCUGGGAGGAAGGUGGGGAUGACGCCAGGUCAGCAUGUCCCUCUGAUGCUUUGGGCUACACACAUAAUACAAUGGGCAUUACAACGGGCAGCGACACAGCAAUGUUGAGCUAAUCCUAAAAAAGUGCCCUCAGUUCGGAUUGAGGUCUGCAACUCGACCUCAUGAAGCUGGAAUCGCUAGUAAUCGCGGGUCAGCCAAACCGCGGUGAAUACGUUCUCAAGUCUUGUACACACCGCCCGU